rnacentral:rRNA from 1 species
CCUACGGGUGGCAGCAGUGAGGAAUAUUGGUCAAUGGGCGCGAGCCUGAACCAGCCAAGUAGCGUGAAGGAUGACUGCCCUACGGGUUGUAAACUUCUUUUAUAAAGGAAUAAAGUGAGGCACGUGUGCCUUUUUGUAUGUACUUUAUGAAUAAGGAUCGGCUAACUCCGUGCCAGCAGCCGCGGUAAUACGGAGGAUCCGAGCGUUAUCCGGAUUUAUUGGGUUUAAAGGGAGCGUAGGUGGGUUUUUAAGUCCGGUGGGAAAGGUUGCGGGCUAAACCGUAAAAUGCAAAUGAUACUGGGCAUCCUUAGGAACAGUUGAGGUAGGCGAAAUUCGGGGUGAGGCGGUGAAAUGCU